AUUGAACGCUGGCGGCAGGCCUAACACAUGCAAGUCGAACGAGUGGCGGACGGGUGAGUAAUGUCUGGGAAACUGCCUGAUGGAGGGGGAUAACUACUGGAAACGGUAGCUAAUACCGCAUACCAUCAGAUGUGCCCAGAUGGGAUUAGCUUGUUGGUGGGGUAAUGGCUCACCAAGGCGACGAUCCCUAGCUGGUCUGAGAGGCUGACCGUCAACACUGGAACGGAGGCACGUUCCAGACUCCUCCGGGAGGCAGCAGUGGGAAGUAGUGCACAGUGGGCGCAAGCCUGAUGCAGCCAUGCCGCGUGUAUGAGGAAGGCCUUCGGGUUGUAAAGUACUUUCAGCGAGGAGGCGUUAACCGCAGAAGAAGCACCGGCUAACUCCGUGCCAGCAGCCGCGGUAAUUC
rnacentral:rRNA from 1 species